UCGCGGGGUGGAGCAGUCUGGUAGCUCGUCGGGCUCAUAACCCGAAGGUCGCAGGUUCAAAUCCUGCCUCCGCAAUC
rnacentral:tRNA from 2 species